UACAGAGGGGGCAAGCGUUAUUCGGAAUUAUUGGGCGUAAAGGGCGCGUAGGCGGCCUGGCAAGUGGAUGGUGAAAUCCCUCGGCUUUAACCGAGGAACUGCCAUCCAGACUGCUUGGCUUGAGACCGGGAGAGGUGAGUGGAAUUCCCAGUGUAGCGGUGAAAUGCGUAGAUAUUGGGAGGAACACCAGUGGCGAAGGCGGCUCACUGGACCGGUACUGACGCUGAGGCGCGAAAGCGUGGGGAGCAAACGGG
rnacentral:rRNA from 1 species